AAUCAAAUGUUCCCUGUUUAGCAAUGUCAUUCCUAAGCAGUGCUCUCAUUUAGGGUGAAACAGUUUAUGGACAGACGCUCAGGAGAAGACGAUGCCACUUUCAGAAGGGCACACACCGCCGAUGUCAGCGAGACUCACUCGACACAGGGAAACAAGGGUGCCUGCAGACCACUGAACAGGGAUGCUGCAGACAACAGUCUUUACAAGAACUCAUAAUUUGUUCCUACUUUUAGAAGCUCAUUCAGCAUUUUGAAUGGUGGUGUUCCCAUCACCACAUUUGUGAAAGAGAAGAGUCAGUGAAGCCACUAAAGGUUCACAGUGACCCCGAAAGAAGCAGACGUUGCAGAACUUCAAGAGUUAAGGAUCAGGCCAAGUGUAAAGAUACAUCAGACGGCCUCCUGAGAGGUGUGGAGGGAAGGUGUUCUUUCCCAGCAGGUCACUUUGUUUACUACUUACAUAUAAUUGUUGACAGCUCACAACGAAUCGAUCUGACUUAAAUACUUCCUGGAACAAGUUCCCUAUGGAAGUGGGAAAGAUCACACACAGUGUUCACUGUUCUGAUUAUUGUUGAUGAGGAACCAGCCUUCCUUUGUAAGCAUCUGGAUGCUGCCAAGGGCGGCAGGUUUGUCAGAAGGAUAUCCCUGCUCGGCAGGAGCCUCGUGUGAGCCUGGACAGGACAUCUGGGAGCCAAGGCUGGGGUGCCUGGUGCCCAGUGAGGCCCUUCCUUCACCCCCUAUUCAAGAGGACAUUUCCAGCUCCAUUUCCCCUCAGAGCAAACUAAGCCAGCAGCUUUGGUCAGGACCCAGAGAGCAUCUCUGAGUCAUCGGUGCCUUUGAAAUCUCAUUAGUGCCUUCCGCAUAGAGAGAGCGGAUUUGGGGUCCACGUGGAAAGCCUCUGUUUUACUAAAUUGCUGAUGUCAUCUUCCUUCUCUGCUGCUCUUCCUUGAAGUCUAUCUUGCUGGACCAGAGAGAAAUGUGUGUAACAGUGCAAAUGAGAUGUUCACCCAUGAUCACACCAGCAGGCAAUGCAGAGAAACACUAAAAGAUUUCCACUCUUCACAACUCUACCCUGCAGUCCAUGGCGAUGACCUAGAACAUUUAGCAGCGUUCCAACCUCAUUCAACACACAUGCAGGCCCUUUGCCUCUGCAUUGUCUUGUCCCUGAAAAAUAGAAAUGUGGGAUGGGGUUAUUUUGACUCAGAUGGGGUGGGGGGAAGCCUGCCAGAGGGAGGAGAAGAGUCGGGUAUCAUAAGCAUUUGGGAAAGAAGAGGGGAUAUCCUGUAGCUGGUCCCAGCUCCCUUCCACGGGGCAAGGGAUAGGUUUCAGUUUACAGAGGGAAACCUUUAACCAAGACCGCAUUCUUCAGAACCCACAUGUAUUUCUUAUCACAUCCACCCAAGCAAUCUGGGGUCCCGCACAAACGUGCAGAGACUUCUGAAGAGGAAGUUUUGGUGAAUAUUUUAGAAAUAAUAACAACAACAAGAACGAAAACACAACCGGCUGGCACAGUCUGAAUCUCAAAGAUCUCAAGAUUCUUCUUCAUUUUGACACCUUCCAAAGCAAUACGAACAUUCUCCUUGGUAAGUCAAUAAGAAAACUCACUGACACAAUAAUGCUCUGUCUUUCUCAAAUCGGGGUGCCAACAUAAUGGAGAAAGUCCCUGCUGUGAAUGUCUCCAACCAGAUGAAGUUUAAAAAGCAUGCAGCUGGGGGUCGAUGUUGGGUGAACACCCAGGAUUAUGGGACAGACGUGAACCUCCACCUGGCUGGACGCUUACAGGUUUCCCUUCAUCCCCUGAAGAACUGCUAAAACCAGCAAUUAGGAACCGUAAACACCAGUACUUUGCCUUGAGGGAAAUUGGAACUUCAAGCAGCCAAUGGAAGUAGAAGGAAAUUACCUUUGGAAAGAGGUAGCAAGUUGUUGAGAGAGCUGUGCAGCAGAGCCCCAGGCAUAUCCGGCGAAAGGCAAGAAGAUGCCAGGCCCGAGGUACUGAUGGGAACCGUGCGGGCCACCGAGCCCAGACCCCGCGAUGUCUGCCGGGCUUUGGUGACAGGAAAUCACAUGUGGUGUCAUUUUCAGCUGCUGAGAGAGACAGAUGCACCCAGAUCAAUAUCACUGCCCAUUUUCAAAGAGGAUAAUCAGCCUAAUUUUCCACUUCUCACCCAUGGGCGCACAGGAUGAUGGACACUGCCAAAGGGAAGCCUUCCAAGCUUUCAUUCGUAUUUUUGCCCAGGUGCAUCCACCAUCAGACCAUAUUAGUGUUUCGUGAGCACAGGCAAUAGGAACGGGACAUUAUAAGAGUCUUCCAAGGUCCCUCCAAUGUCAUUUUCUACAGCUACACUGGGGACUUGUUUUGGUGAGAACAAACUCAGAAGGACAACACGGCGUGGGAAGCUUCCUGAUCGUGAGUCCCCGUGUGUUGUGACCGUGGUUCUCAGCUCCUUUCUCCCAGUAUCAUCACCCAGCGCACAUGCUCAUUAUCAUCAUGUUUCCAUUUUCUUACAAGAAGGUUUUUGGUAAGAGAAAACAGACCAAUGGUUUAUUUAACAAGGAAUAAAAAUACAUUCUUCAGGACUGGCUUUGGGUAGUUCAAGGCUUCCAGCUUGGACUGGAACAUGGGCUGACACCCAGCACCUGCUCGUAACGUCCCAGAGCCCGAGGCUGCGUUGAACGGAUACGCCCAGGACGUAAACGGGGUUCCCAUUAUAAUAUUUUAAAUUCCCCAAAUCUGGUGGCUCAUCAUUCACACAUUCUCAUGUCACGU